rnacentral:lncRNA from 1 species
CACCAGUCGGCGAUUAUAAACGCGGUGGUGCCACCGAGUCAGCUACGGAGAUGUCUAUAUACAAUCAGCAUCGGAAGUAAUGAUUACCUCAACAACUACUUCUUGCAACCUCCUACCCCAGCUCGUCGUCAGUAUACUCCUGAAGAGUUUGCUGAAUCUCUCAUACGCUUCUACAAUAUUUAUUUGAAAGUAAGUAUUAUUUUAAGAAAGAAACCAAACAAACCUAAUUCAUAUGUUAUCUAAAAGUCUAAAACAUAUGGAGAAAUAUUCUAAUGAGAAUUAAUUUUGGAAUAUAAAAUUAUAAAAUUGAAUUGUACAAUUUCAAUAAAUCUAAAAUCUAUUUUCACAUAAAUAUAUACUUAAACCUGAUAUAUAUACACUAAAAACAAAUUUCCAGUUGAUACAAAUCGUCAAAAAUUCGUCGGUGUAAAAAAAGAAAAAAUUCUCUAAGAUCUCAUUUUUAGUUUAUUUUCACAAAUAUAGCUCUCAAUGAAGAAAAUUAACAAAAUAAGUUUUAUUAAAAGGUAAAAAUAUAAGUUAUAUAUUUUUACUCUAGAAUUAACAAAUCUAAACUUAGGGUUUAGAAUUAAGGGGUGGAGUUUUAGGGAUAUGAUUUUAAAUUUUAAAAAAUAAAAAAUUAAAAUUAAAAUCUUCAAAAUAAAAAGGCUAUUUUGGUCAUUUCUUUAUUAAAAUCUAUUUUUGUGAUAAAAACUUAAAAAUGCUAUUUGAGAAAAGUAUCCUUAAAGAAUCAUUAGUUAAUUAACACUCCCUUAAAUUUGUAUUAAAAACAAUUCCAACGACUCUAUUCAAUGCCAAUAUAAAUAGAUUUCCAUCAAAAUUACGUCAAUUUCUUUUGAAAAGGAUAAAACGAUCUUAUUUAAAUAAAAGAAAUUAAGGAAAAACUACUAAUCCAUUGGAAAUCGUUUGAAUUUUUUGACAGAAAUCGUUUGAAUUUUUUGACAUGUGAUAUGUCCAAAUCCCAUCUUUCUGUAGUGAUAUACUUCUUGUUUCUACCAAAUAUGAAAAAUGUGUGGUUUAUAUGUGUUUUUCUUGUAGCAAUUGUACCUACUAGGAGCGAGGAAGGUGGCUUUGUUCGGAAUCGGUAAGAUUGGGUGUAUACCACGUAUUGUUGCUACCCUUGGUGGUGGUGUUGGCUGUGCAGAAGAAGUGAACCAAGCCGUUGAUCUCUUCAACAAUAAACUUAAAGCCCUAGUCACAGACUUCAACAACAAACUCUCUAGUGCUAAGUUCACUUACGUUGACCUCUUCUCUGGAAAUGCUGAAGACUUCGCCGCUCUUGGUAAUACCAUACUUGAAAAACAAAAAAAAUGAAACUGUUUAAUCAAGAACUUGUAAUGAUUCAUUUUUGUGAAUAUUGUAGGGAUCACUGUUGGUGAUAGGAGUUGCUGUACGGUUAACCCGGGUGAAGAGCUUUGUGCGCAGAACGGACCGGUUUGUCCUGACCGAACAAAAUACAUAUUUUGGGAUAACGUGCAUACCACGGAAAUUAUUAAUACAGUGAUAGCUAUCGCAGCGUUUAACGGAGACAUAACUUCUCCCUUCAGCAUAUCUCAGCUUGUGAAUUAGCUUAUAAUAUGGACAUGACUUUACUAGUUUAAGCUGUAAACUGGUUUGGUCAUGGAAACCAUAUAAUAUACAUAUACUAUCAACUGAAAAAUGAAUAAAACGAUUGUAAUAGUUUCCAGUAACAAUAAUAAUAAUAUUUUCACCUAUCUGAUUGUUCUUAUUUCUUGUAUUUCACGUAAUCGAACUUUACAUGCUGUUCUCUAACGUGACGUCCUCUGGAUGGUUAACGAGCAUCGAGUGUUCAUCAGCUGAGGUGAUUGCAAACUCAGCUAAUGAGCUCACUGCAGCAGACACUCCCUGCCAGACUACUUUAACUGCAAUCUCAGCCAACUUCUCAACAUUCAUCAUCAUCUUCUCCACAUUGUCAGCUUCAACAAGCUCCAUGCUCUCUGGCAGAGCCGGUCUUGGAGGGAAGCCAAUGAAGCUGGUGCUUCCGGCCACCAAAUAUUAUCACUCUAACCGGCCACAUCUGAACAUAACGUUCUUAGUAGCUCAGCGGUUUGUCUAGUGUUGUUAGUGUUUCAGGUUGCGGGUUCGAGGGACAUCAGCCACAUUUUUUUAAUUGGCUUCUAGCCACAUAAUAAUUAGGACCGGCUCUGCUCUCUGGUGUUCCUGAGUAUGGUUCUUCUUUAAGCUGUAGAGCAAAGAUUGAACCCAUCCCAGAGGCAAAGAAGUCGAGAAGGCCUGGCCUGAAAUAUUUUGGGCCGGAAGCCCAAAAAUAAUAAAAGUAACAAAACGUAGUGAACUUUAUAGAAGAAAUAGCUAGUCUGUAAAACGUUAUAAUCAGUGUGACAUUGUCAGUUACUUACUAGUAAAUGAGAGACGUUUCAAAGCCACAGCAUACCCUUAAAGAAGCUCAAGAAUCUGUGGAAGCAGUUCUUGGUCGCGAAGAGACUCUAUCCUUUGCGAGAUAGACUCUAUUGAAUGUAUAAAAAAAACUUCAUCUGAUGAUGAGUGUAUAGAUCUCUGACUAUAAAUCUUGUUUUAUCAACUGAGGAAGAGUCAUCUCCUUUAACAUAUGGUUCCUUCGAGCCAAACAUAUCUUCUCAUAUGCAAUAUAUAUAAACGAAACUAUUUAUACAUAAGAAAAAUGUGUUGACUAAAACUGAAGUUAAUUAAGUAGGACAUUAGGACAAUUAAUAAUGUAAGACUUUUUGUAAGAAACACAACACUUGAUAGAGUUUAAUUACGAAUUUCAAUAAUGUAUUGGUUGAACUGAAUUAUAUCGAAGUUUUAUUAAAAAUGAUUAUAGGUAUGUUGAUUAUAUUAAAAAUGUCAAUAUAACUCAGAAGUAUUGCGAUAUUAAAGGACACUACUAAAAUUAACUAAAAUCAUUAUAUAUAAGUUAUCACCGGUCAUCAGAUUAUGAAUGGUCGAGUGUUAAAAGUUGACACUGUUAUCAUAUCCUAUUUUGAACAUUCAUUCACACAUAAUAUGUUUUUAAUAAUUGGUUUUCUACAACUAAUGGUUCUUUUAAUCUAUUAUCAUCCGAUUUAUAUAUCUCCAAAUACAAAUAACUAGUUGCAUCACUAAUAUGAAAAAUCAUCUAUCGAAGUUUAUGCUUACAAGUUGACCCCUAAAAAGGGUUAAUGGUUGCUAAUUAUUUUGUAUUAAGUCGUAAAUGGCCAACUCUAUCAAAACAUUCAACUUGUUUUUCUAUAUUUUACCGCAAAAUGCAAGGCAUUAGUUGACCUUACUGAUCCGUAUUAUUCAGGGAUUCCCUAUUAAAUUAAUUACAUAUAGUCUAAUAAAAAUAUGUGGAGUAUACCUUCUGAAUACGGCAACUGUAACCAUUUUUGUUGGUAUACUAUAUAAUUUUAUUAUUGUUAUUAUAUUUUUAAAAGAGUAUGAAAACAUUUACAAAUGGAGUUAUAGUCCAAGUAUUAGAAGUAUUUAGUUAGUUAUCUAAACUCUAUUUGGGGGAAGAAAGAUAAGCUAUUAGUGGAUGGAGAGAAACAACAAAUUUAGUUGAUAGUUUUGAAGUUACAAUUCAAAGUAUUUAUAGUUAGGUUUCAUUUGCAUUUGGUGGAAAUCUGGCAUACCUUGACCUAACUUUUUGCAUGGACUCGUCGUGCAUGUGUUUAGUUUGGGAGAUUUUGUCUAAGCAUUGUUAGUUUUUUUUUCAUCGAAAGGCUACUCUAUUAUCCAAACUUGAGGUGGUCUGGUUAACCAAAUCGAAAUAGAACAACCAAUGAAAUAAAAUAAUUUAUGAAAAGAUCUCGCAGUCCCAACUAAGAAAUCUGAGAUGAUCUAAGCAUUUUUAGUUAAGAAAAGAACUUUUAUUUUAUUUGAGUUGUAUGACAUAUUAACCUUGAAACAUUAUUAUUACUAAUGCAGUAAGCUUUUAGAAUUUUAGAAUUGCAUGUAUAUGCUAAAAGAUUAUUAUAUAUCAACAGUUAUUUUGAAUUUGAAAAUGAAUUUUCAAAAAUUAUUAUAAAUUUCUCAAAGUAUUCUUUGGCAUAAGUGAAAAUAUAUCGUGCUUAAUAAAUAUAUAGUAAACGAGAAUUAGAGUAGACACGUAUUAAUUCAUGCAAAACAAUGUAUAUAGUUUUCGAAGUCUCCUUUUAAUUCACUCAUGGUUUCAUCCUUUAUAAAUAGUCUUACAGUUUCCUAAUUAUCAAAGCACUUGCAUCGCAUCUAUCUACUAAUCAGAAUUUGCAAAUCUGUUUCAUAUAUAUAAGCCAACCUUUUCUUCAACAUUCUCUUCUCAUUUUCCGUAUAACUCGAUCUUUAAAACAUGGUCGAGGGAGUGUCCAAGGCAUUGUGGAUUGUUGUGGCCACCGUGUUUGCAGUAGCCGCGGCGAUCACACCAGUGGCUUGUGGACAACAAGCACCGUGUUACUUCGUGUUCGGAGACUCUCAAUUCGACAACGGUAACAACAAUGUCUUAAACACCACUGCAAAGGUCAACUAUUUACCUUAUGGUAUAGAUUUUUCCGAAGGUCCAACCGGUCGGUUUAGCAACGGACGUAACAUUCCAGACGUUAUCGGUUAGUUUUAAACCGGUUUUCUUUAGCUUAAUUCAAUUCAGUCCAAUUUUUUAUUCGAUUAUUACAUGUUGUCUAAUAUUUACCUCUUAUGUAAUUUAAGUUUUCAAAACGUGUUAUACAUAAUACAUAGUAUAUGUGUUAUUUUCUUGAUUUUAGUCAAUGAAAACUAGAUCGGACACCAAUUAGUUAUUAUUACUGACCGGUUGGACCAAUCCAACAGGUUCAACCAGAUUUUCAGAAAAAAAUUAUAUAUAUAGAUAUAUAUGCGUGUGUGUGAAGAUAUGAUAAAAUUGAAAAGACUACUUCUGAUAACUUGCAAGAAAAAUAUGAUAAUUCAUUAUCAAAUUUAAAAUAUUGGUGACUAUUGGUUUAUGUCAAUUGUGAUCACUAUUGUUUAUAUAUAAUUUUCAGUAUAGCUAAUUAGUCUAAUUUUGAAUGUUUUUGUUAUAGCUGAACUAGCGGGUUUCAAUGAUUCCAUUCCUCCAUUCGCUGGAGCUUCACCGGGACAAGCUAACAUCGGACUCAACUAUGCUUCCGGUGGCGGCGGGAUCCGAGAAGAAACCAGCCAAAAUUUGGUAGCAAAAACUAUAUAGUAUUACGAUUUAUCAUCUGAAAAUAAUCUAAGUAUAUUGAUACGUAUAUAGGGUGAAAGAAUCAGUUUGAGAAGGCAAAUAAACAACCACCAGAGGGCGAUUAUAAACGCGGCGGUGCCACGGCGUCAGCUACGGCAAUGCCUAUACACAAUCAACAUUGGAAGCAAUGAUUACCUCAACAACUACUUCUUGCAACCUCCUACCCCAGCUCGCCGCCGUUAUAAUCCUGAACAAUUUGCUGAAUCUCUCAUACGUCUCUACAAUAUUUAUUUGAAAGUAAGUAUUCUUUAGAGAGAGAAAACAAAUAAACCUAAUUCAUCUGUUAUCUCAAACAUAUGGAGAAAUACUAUAAUGGCAAUUAUAAUUUUGGGAAAACUAGGUAUCC